GGGCACGUCUGCCUGGGCGUCACGC
rnacentral:ncRNA from 3 species